rnacentral:rRNA from 1 species
AUUGAACGCUGGCGGCAGGCUUAACACAUGCAAGUCGAGCGGAGAUGAGGUGCUUGCACCUUAUCUUAGCGGCGGACGGGUGAGUAAUGCUUAGGAAUCUGCCUAUUAGUGGGGGACAACAUUCCGAAAGGAAUGCUAAUACCGCAUACGUCCUACGGGAGAAAGCAGGGGAUCUUCGGACCUUGCGCUAAUAGAUGAGCCUAAGUCGGAUUAGCUAGUUGGUGGGGUAAAGGCCUACCAAGGCGACGAUCUGUAGCGGGUCUGAGAGGGUGAUCCGCCACAGUGGGACUGGGACACGGCCCAGACUCCUACGGGGAGCAGCAGUGGGGAAUAAUGGACAAUGGGGGAAACCCUGAUCCAGCCAUGCCGCGUGUGUGAAGAAGGCCUUAUGGUUGUAAAGCACUUUAAGCGAGGAGGAGGCUACUGAGACUAAUACUCUUGGAUAGUGGACGUUACUCGCAGAAUAAGCACCGGCUAACUCUGUGCCAGCCGCCGCAGUAAGAC